UCCUCUUCGCGUCUCUCAAUUGAGAUCUGAAGGUUCUAGAAAGUUUUCGAGGCCGAUCAGACCGCGGAGUUGAAUAUAUCCUUUUUCCGGCGAGGAGUUUUGUUUUCGCCUCGUCAGUGUUUCGCAUCCGGAUCUGCGUAUGCGUGCUCGUAAGAAUUUCUGCGUUCAUUGAUCUAUUUGUUUUUUCACACUUUAAUUAUCAGUUUGAUUUGAUUUAAAGUAGUUGUAACUGCUGCACUGGUAUUUUAGGAUGAGCUUGUGUUUCACGAUUUUUUAAUAUCUAAUUGCUACAGCAUUACAGCCUCAAAUGUGUUUCUUUGCAAAUUCGUUGAUUUCGUUGGUAGGUUUAUAGUUUGAAAUUGUUCCUUUUCGAGGGUUUUAAUACGUUCCGUUCAUUGUGUCUUCUGCUGUUCAAAUUGACUGCUUUUUAACUCGUUUGUUUGAUAAUGGUAGUUUGAUUAUUCUUGUUUCUGUUAGACUAGCAUUGUGUUUGGACAUUCCAUCUGUUUUACAAUUUCUGGGUUUGUGAAUAAGCUGUAAGUUGUAACUGCUCUACUGGUAUUUUUAGCGUGAAAUUGUGUUUCAUACUAAAGCUGUGAUUAAUUUCCAAUGAAUUUGUUUUGCAAGUUCAUUGAUUUUUGAAUAUUGAGCCGGAAACAGCCUCUCUACUCGCCCGGAGUAGGGGUAAGGUCUGCGUACACACUACUUCCCCAGACCCCACUUGUGGGAUUUUAUUGGGUUGUUGUUGUUGUAUUGGUUUUUGAAUAUGUAAUGUCUGAUAGAAUGUUUUUGUUUUUUUUCCCCUAGGAUCUGAAGAAUUUUUUGAGAUGAUUUAACAGUUGAGAAGGAAACAUCACAGCUGCCUGAACACGAGCUAAGGAAUUAGUGGAAUUGAUUAACAAAAGAAAUUCAAAAUACAGCGACCAGGUUCAGGGGGCGAUUUGCCCCAAAUCAGUGAGUUCAGCCCUUUCCCAGUAGCACGGAGGGUAAAUUCUUUCCAAACCGUUGCAAUGGAUGAUGACAUGGAAGGAGGGAACUUGGGCCCUUACCAAGAUAGGCCAAGGACAUUUCCUAGCAUGAAGAGUAAAGCUU
rnacentral:lncRNA from 1 species